CGUGUGCUUACAAGUAGUCAGAGCCCGUUAAUGGGUGAUGGCGUGCCUUUUGUAGAAUGAACCGGCGAGUUACGAUUUGAUGCAAGGUUAAGCAGUAAAUGUGGAGCCGUAGCGAAAGCGAGUCUGAAUAGGGCGUUUAGUAUUUGGUCGUAGACCCGAAACCAGGUGAUCUACCCUUGGUCAGGUUGAAGUUCAGGUAACACUGAAUGGAGGACCGAACCGACUUACGUUGAAAAGUGAGCGGAUGAACUGAGGGUAGCGGAGAAAUUCCAAUCGAACCUGGAGAUAGCUGGUUCUCUCCGAAAUAGCUUUAGGGCUAGCCUCAAGUGAUGAUUAUUGGAGGUAGAGCACUGUUUGGACGAGGGGCCCCUCUCGGGUUACCGAAUUCAGACAAACUCCGAAUGCCAAUUAAUUUAACUUGGGAGUCAGAACAUGGGUGAUAA
rnacentral:rRNA from 1 species